AGGGAUCAUUAACGAAUGGCCUAUUUUGGCCUUCAACCUUCAAACCUUUGUGAACCUUAAAACUUGCUUCGGCGAGCCCCUCUCUCCGGAUUGGGAUCGCCGCGUUUAUGCUCGAAUGUGUUUUGUGUGUCGAUUUCUAUAAUAAAUAAAACUUUCAACAAAGGAUCUCUUGGCUCUCGCAUCGAUGAAGAACGCAGCGUAGCCAGCAUCGAUGUGGAAGUAAAAGUCGUAACAAG
rnacentral:misc_RNA from 1 species